UACGUAGGGUGCAAGCGUUAAUCGGAAUUACUGGGCGUAAAGCGUGCGCAGGCGGUUUUGUAAGUCUGUCGUGAAAGCCCCGGGCUCAACCUGGGAAUUACGAUGGAGACUGCAAGGCUUGAAUCUGGCAGAGGGGGGUAGAAUUCCACGUGUAGCAGUGAAAUGCGUAGAGAUGUGGAGGAACACCGAUGGCGAAGGCAGCCCCCUGGGUCAAGAUUGACGCUCAUGCACGAAAGCGUGGGGAGCAAACAGG
rnacentral:rRNA from 1 species